UACGUAGGGUGCGAGCGUUGUCCGGAAUUAUUGGGCGUAAAGGGCUCGUAGGCGGUUUGUCGCGUCGGGAGUGAAAACACCGGGCUUAACUCGGUGCUUGCUUUCGAUACGGGCAGACUAGAGGUAUGCAGGGGAGAACGGAAUUCCUGGUGUAGCGGCGAAAUGCGCAGAUAUCAGGAGGAACACCGGUGGCGAAGGCGGUUCUCUGGGCAUUACCUGACGCUGAGGAGCGAAAGUGUGGGGAGCGAACAGG
rnacentral:rRNA from 1 species